rnacentral:rRNA from 1 species
CCUACGGGUGGCAGCAGUGGGGGAUAUUGCACAAUGGGGGGAACCCUGAUGCAGCGACGCCGCGUGGGCGAAGAAGCGCCUCGGCGCGUAAAGCCCUGUCAGCAGGGAAGAAAAUGACGGUACCUGACGAAGAAGCCCCGGCUAAAUACGUGCCAGCAGCCGCGGUAAUACGUAGGGGGCAAGCGUUAUCCGGAUUUACUGGGUGUAAAGGGGGCGCAGGCGGCGAUGCAAGCCAGGAGUGAAAGCCCGGGGCCCAACCCCGGGACUGCUCUCGGAACUGCGUGGCUGGAGUGCAGGAGGGGCAGGCGGAAUUCCUGGUGUAACGGUGAAAUGCGUAGAUAUCAGGAGGAACACCGGUGGCGAAGGCGGCCUGCUGGACUGCAACUGACGUUGAGGCCCGAAAGCGUGGGGAGCAAACAGGAUUAGAUACCCUAGUAGUC